UACGGGGGGGCAAGCGUUGUUCGGAAUUACUGGGCGUAAAGGGCUCGUAGGCGGCCAACUAAGUCAUACGUGAAAUCCCCCGGCUUAACCGGGGAACUGCGUCUGAUACUGGAUGGCUUGAGUUCGGGAGAGGGAUGCGGAAUUCCAGGUGUAGCGGUGAAAUGCGUAGAUAUCUGGAGGAACACCGGUGGCGAAGGCGGCAUCCUGGACCGAUACUGACGCUGAGGAGCGAAAGCCAGGGGAGCAAAGCA
rnacentral:rRNA from 1 species